GAUGAUUAUAAACUUGGAAUGCUCUAA
rnacentral:sRNA from 1 species